UUAAAGGAGGGUAGUAUACCUGACAUAAUACUAACUUCACAGUUUAGCUAGCAAACAAGGUAACCAAAGAUUUUGGUUCAGCCACCACUCAAGUCAUUUGACUGUAAGUAUCACUUUCAUCUACUGUAUAUAGUCAACAACGAUUAAAGCUAAAAUCAAGAAAAUCGAACUUGACCUUUAUUAAAUCAUAGGAAACAACAUAUUUAAAAAGAGUUCGUCAAAGCAUGUUCAAAGUAUUGCACGGUUAAUAGCUGACUAAUUUUUUCUUGUAUUUAACUAUUUUUUCCCUUGCUUUUUAUAACAGUGAAACAUAUUUUAAACAAUUGAUAAUCGUUUUUGCAUGGAACAUUCAGGAAUUCAAUAUGCUCUUCGUUAAAGAGAAAAGAGAGAAAGUGAUCAAAUUCAAUUUGCUGCAACCACGGCGUUGAAGUUAAAAGAUGUGAUUUUGGCGACGUGUUUGUUUGAAAGGGUUAUUAGAUUAUGACUUUAAUUUUAUAAUUAUAAUUAUUAAUGAAAUCAAUAUCAUUCCCGGCCGAUUGCUAUAAAUGUCUGCUUUGUAUUCCCUAUUUUGACCUUUCCUCCAUGUUGUCUGUGACAUUCUCAUUUCCUUGUAGUUACUUGUUUGGGAAUCUGCAAUAUGUUGUUACAUUUUUUAAAUGUCUACCUAAUAUUAAACUUCACGUAAAUAAUUUAGAUAUAUAUUGUACUAUUUAAAGUUAAAAUUCUUAUGCAUCUCGAGUCUUAUUUUAAUUUGUUAACGACAAUUUUGAGAUUCUGUUAAGAUAAUGAUAUUGUACGACAUGUAACUACAAUAAAUACUAACACGUCAUGUCUAAACAAAAACUGAAUUUCAUGCGUCCAAGGCGGGUUUUCUAAAUUUACCAUCAUUAGGAAUUUGAAAAGGUAAAAGAAACAUAUGUAGAAAUAAUUACAUAACAAUGAUACACCUGAUUAUGCACUCUAUGAAAAAGGUAAAAUAACAAAAAUACUGAACUCCGACGAAAAAUUCAAAACGAAAAGUCCCUAAUCAAAUGGCAAUAUCAAAAAGAUAAAUCAUAUCAAGCGAAUGGACAACAACUGUCAUUUUUCCGACUUGGUACAGAUUUUUUUUUGUGUGUAGAAAUUGGUGGAUUUAACCUGGUUUUAUAUAUCUAAACCUCUCACUUGAAUGACAUACUGUUCCAUGUAUAAUUUGAAACCCGAGUGUGACAAGCUUAUGUAUCUAACAAAGUAUUCGGGUAUGGUCGGCGUUAAAAUUCUGGCUUAUCUAGUAUAUAAAAGACAAGAGAAAACGGUCGCAGGGUUUUCUACAAAUUUGCAAGCAACCUUGGCUUGUUAAAUUACAACUGCAACUCGAAAAAAACAAUCAUUUAUCUCUUUUAAUAUCUGAAAUAGUACAGAUUGAUUUCUUCCCAUAUAGGUAAAUAUUUGCAUGGAAAACACAUGUAUACAAUCGGGGAAAAACCUUCUAAAAUUUGUCUUAAAUUAAAAUCAUCAAAAUCUUUAAUCUUCUCUAUAGAUUUUUCUAAAAAAAACUAUAUGUUGUUGAUACAUGCAUUUCUGUUUUAAUGAUAUAAAAUAAUCAUAUGGUCACCGACUUCGUUUUUUGUCUAAUGAUUUAUUUGUUUCCUUUUUGUAGUAAAAACGUCAAAAAUCAACGUUUUAUGGCGUCCGGUCCAACAUUAGUGACUCUAAUUACGACGUGGUUGUUGUUUGUCCAACGUCCAUUGGCAGAGGCAAAUAAAGUGAUAUUAUUAGUAACUACAGAUGUUUAAGGGAUAAUAUGUUGUAUACGCCAAUGCGAAAGCAACCAAACGACCAAGCAUCACAAAUCACCAAAAGACAUUUAGAGGUAGUGCAGUCUUCAAGGUAAAACAGUUGUCUUGAGAAAUGAAGAUUUUUAUGUGACAAGUUUUUCACUCCUUCUUAAUCUUGAUACGUCGACUUACAAAGGAAACAUAGAAGACAAUACAAUAAAAAAAGGUGACAGUCCGUUUGCAUCAAAUCUUGUUUUAUAAAAGUAUUGAUUCCGCCAAAGUUAAGGAAUUUCAUUUAUCUGUACACAUAUCUAUCAUAUAAGUAUUUUUUAAUAAAAGAGGAU
rnacentral:lncRNA from 1 species